rnacentral:sRNA from 1 species
GCCGGGCGUGGUGGCACACGCCUUUAAUCCCAGCACUUGGGAGGCAGAGGCAGGUGGAUCUCUGUGAGUUCAAGGCCAGCCUGGUCUACAUAGUGAGUUCCAGGACAGCUGGGGCUAGAGGGAGACCCUGUCUCAAAAAGACCAAAAAAAUUUAUAUUAUAUAUAUAGACAGGGUCUCCCUGUAGCCCCAGCUAGCCUGGCACUCCAGGCUGGCCUCGAUCUCACAGAGAUCUGUCUGCCUCU